rnacentral:rRNA from 1 species
AACGCGAAGAACCUUACCUAGACUUGACAUCUCCUGCAUUACUCUUAAUCGAGGAAGUCCCUUCGGGGACAGGAUGACAGGUGGUGCAUGGUUGUCGUCAGCUCGUGUCGUGAGAUGUUGGGUUAAGUCCCGCAACGAGCGCAACCCUUAUUGUUAGUUGCCAUCAUUAAGUUGGGCACUCUAGCGAGACUGCCCGGGUUAACCGGGAGGAAGGUGGGGAUGACGUCAAAUCAUCAUGCCCCUUAUGUCUAGGGCUACACACGUGCUACAAUGGUCGGUACAAUAAGACGCAAGCCCGCAAGGGGGAGCAAAACUGGAAAACCGAUCUCAGUUCGGAUUGUAGGCUGAAACUCGCCUACAUGAAGUUGGAAUUGCUAGUAAUCGCGGAUCAGCAUGCCGCGGUGAAUACGUUCCCGGGUCUUGUACACACCG